rnacentral:rRNA from 1 species
UACGUAGGGUGCGAGCGUUGUCCGGAAUUAUUGGGCGUAAAGAGCUUGUAGGCGGUUUGUCGCGUCUGCCGUGAAAUUUCGAGGCUCAGCCUCGAACUUGCGGUGGGUACGGGCAGACUAGAGUGUGGUAGGGGAGAUUGGAAUUCCUGGUGUAGCGGUGGAAUGCGCAGAUAUCAGGAGGAACACCGAUGGCGAAGGCAGAUCUCUGGGCCGUAACUGACGCUGAGGCACGAAAGCGUGGGGAUCAAACAGG